rnacentral:rRNA from 1 species
UACGUAGGGGGCGAGCGUUGUCCGGAUUUAUUGGGCGUAAAGAGCUCGUAGGCGGUUUGGCAAGUCGGGUGUGAAAACUCCGGGCUCAACUCGGAGACGCCACUCGAUACUGCUAUGACUCGAGUCCGGUAGGGGAGUGCGGAAUUCCUGGUGUAGCGGUGAAAUGCGCAGAUAUCAGGAGGAACACCGGUGGCGAAGGCGGCACUCUUGGCCGGUACUGACGCUGAGGCGCGAAAGCGUGGGGAGCAAACAGG